UUCCGGUUGAUCCCGCCGGACCCUACUGCUAUCGGGAUAGGACUAAGACAUGUUAGUCGGGCGUCUCUAAGCCAUGAAAGAGACGCGGCGUACGGCUCAGUAGCAUGUGGCUAACCUAACCUAAGGACAGAGACAACCCCGGGAAACUGGGGCUAAUCCCUGAUAGGCGUGGACUCCUGGAAUGGAUUCACACCCAAAGAGCAUUUGAUUCAUGCUUCAGAUGUUGCCUUAGGAUGGGGCCGCAACCGAUCAGGUCGUUGGCGAGGUAACGGCUCACCAAGCCUAUAACCGGUACGGGCCGCGGGAGCGGUAGCCCGGAGAUGGACACUGAGACAAGGGUCCAGGCCCUACGGGGCGCAGCAGUCGCGAAAACUUCACAAUACGCGAAAGCGUGAUGGGGCUAUCCCGAGUGCCAUCCGCUGAGGAUGGCUUUUCUCCAGUGUAAGGCGCUGGAGGAAUAAGGAGAGGGCAAGCCUGGUGUCAGCCGCCGCGGUAAUACCAGCUCUCCGAGUGGUAGGGAUGUUUAUUGGGCUUAAAGCGUCCGUAGCCGGCUCAGAAAGUCCUCCGUUAAAUCCAACGAUUCAAUCGUUGGACUGCGGGGGAUACUCUUGGGCUUGGGGACGGGAGAGGUCGACGGUAUUCUCGGAGUAGGGGUGAAAUCCUAUAAUUCCGAGAGGACCACCAGUGGCGAAGGCUGUCGACUGGAACGAGCUCGACGGUGAGGGACGAAAGCUGGGGGAGCGAACCGGAUUAGAUACCCGGGUAGUCCCAGCCGUAAACGAUGCGGGCUAGGUGUUAGGGUGGCCACGAGCCAUCUAGUGCCGCAACGAUGCUUUAGCUCGCCUGUCUGGGUAUUACGGUCGCAUGGCUGAACUUAUGGGUAUUGGCUGGG
rnacentral:rRNA from 1 species